AGAUUGAACGCUGGCGGCAUGCUUUACACAUGCAAGUCGAACGGUAACAGGCCGGCAAGGUGCUGACGAGUGGCGAACGGGUGAGUAAUGUAUCGGAACGUGCCCAGUCGUGGGGGAUAACGCAGCGAAAGCUGCGCUAAUACCGCAUACGAUCUAUGGAUGAAAGCGGGGGACCGUAAGGCCUGCGCGAUUGGAGCGGCCGAUAUCAGAUUAGGUAGUUGGUGGGUAAAGGCUCACCGAAGCCAACGAUCUGUAGCUGGUCUGAGAGGACGACCAGCCACACUGGGACUGAGACACGGCCAGACUCCGUACGGGAGGCAGCAGGUGGGGAAUUUUGGAACAAGUGGGCGCAAGCCUGAUCCAGCAAUGCCGCGUGCGAAGGAA
rnacentral:rRNA from 1 species